CAUAUCUAUAUGACGAGGAUAACGGUUGGAAACGACUGCUAAGACUGGAUAGGAGUAGAGGAGGCAUCUCUUUUACUUUAAAGGACUUUUCGGAGUACGCGUAUGGAGUGACCUGCGGCGCAUUAGUUAGUUGGUGGGGUAGUGGCCUACCAAGACGAUGAUGCGUAGCCGGACUGAGAGGUUGAACGGCCACAUUGGGACUGAGACACGGCCCAGACUCCUACGGGAGGCAGCAGUAGGGAAUUUUCGGCAAUGGGGGGAACCCUGACCGAGCAACGCCGCGUGAAUGACGAAGUACUUCGGUAUGUAAAGUUCUUUUAUUAAGGAAGAAAGUGCAGUGGAAAAACUGUAUAGACGGUACUUAUUGAAUAAGCCCCGGCUAACUAUGUGCCAGCAGCCGCGGUAAUACAUAGGGGGCAAGCGUUAUCCGGAAUUAUUGGGCGUAAAGGGUGCGUAGGCGGCCUAUUAAGUUUAAGGUGUAAGUGCAAGGCUCAACCUUGUGAUGCUUUAAAAACUGGUAGGCUAAAGGACAGUAAAGGCAAGUGGAAUUCCAUGUGUAGCGGUAAAUGCGUAAAUAUAUGGAGGAACACCAGCGGCGAAGGCGACUUGCUGGGCUGUGUCUGACGCUGAAGCACGAAAACGUGGGGAGCAACCAGGAUUAAAUACCCUGGUAAUCCACGCCGUAAACGAUGAUUACUA
rnacentral:rRNA from 1 species